AUGGGGAUCACCCGCGCGCACAUCGUCAAAAACGACUCCCUGGAGGACAGGCUGGGCGACUACGUCGGCGGCAAGCCCAGGCGCGCCUCGUUGGGGGCGGCGUCGAAGCACUCGUCGCGCCUCGUGGCGGCGCUCACCUGCCUCCAGCUCGCCUUCGCCAUCUACGCCACCUUCCUGCUCUACUACAUGAGCCCCGCCGUGGACCUCCGCGCCAAGCCCGACUUCGCCUGGGCCACCCGCAUCGCGCAGCGCUGGAAGCAGACCAUCAUGUCCGACGGCGGCGGCGACCCGCUGUUGUCGCCGCUCCAGGUGUGCGAGCACGAGAGCAUCGAGUUCGAGCAGAAGAAGUCCACCGACGCGCUCAUGAUCCGCCUCAAGCGCGAGCUCUACGACGACGUGCUCGCCUUCCAGCGCCGCUCCUUCGCCGCCGAGACGCUCCCCGAGCUCCUCCGCAUGCGCUCCCGCUGGCCCUCGUCGCCGCCGUCCGACGAGGCGGGCCGGCCGCGGGUCACCGUCAUCCUCAACCACUUCAAGCGCCGCACGCUGUGCGCGCAGCUCGACACGCUGCGGCGGCAGACGCUGCCGUUCCACCGCGCCUGGGUGCUCGCCUUCGGGAGCCCCAACGAGGCCUCGCUCCGGCGCAUCGUCGAGAGCUACAACGACUCCCGCGUCAGCUUCGUCGCCUCCGGCUACGACUUCAAGUACUACGGCCGCUUCCAGAUGGCGCUGCAGGCCGAGUCCGACUUCGUCUACGUCCUCGACGACGACAUGAUCCCCGGCACCCGCAUGCUCGAGAUCCUCUGCCACGUCGCCGGCACCGACAAGUACCGCAACGCCGUGCUCGGCAGCAUCGGCCGCAUCCUCCCCUUCCGGGCCAAGGACUUCACCUUCCCGAGCUACCGCAAGUUCCGCUCCCGGGAGGCCGGCCUCUACCUCCCCGACCCGGCCUACGACAUCACCGUCGACCGCAUCGUGCAGGUUGACUUCCUCUCCAGCUCAUGGUUCCUCGCCACGGAGCUCGUCAAGACGCUCUUCAUCGAGACGCCCUUCACCUUCAUGACCGGCGAGGACCUCCACCUCAGCUACCAGCUGCAGAAGUACAUGGGCGCCGGCUCCUUCGUGCUCCCCGUCGACCCCAAAGACAAGGAGACGUGGGGGGACAGCGAGCACCGUCUGGCCUACGUCUCCGAGACGACGGUCAUCUUUAAGGACAUCGUGACCGUGCGGGACGAGCAGUGGUGGCGCGCGCUCACCUCCGGCUACGUCACCCAGUGGGCGGCCAUGAACCCGCAGAAGGUGGACGCGCUCUUCUACGCGCACUCCCUCGGCGAGGUCAGGGCGCUGGCGCCGCUGCUCGAGAAGUUCCGCACCACCGCCGGCCGGAAGGCGUACCUCGUCGUGUCCGGAGGCGGGCACUGCCCCUGCGAGGAGGCCGCGGCCGUGCUCAAGUGGCCCAAGGUGGUGUGCAAGGAGCGGCGGUUCAAGGUGUUCGACUUGGCCCUCGGUGCGCUCUCCGGCCCGUCCCAUUCCGAGGUGCCCGUGCUGCAGGCCGUCUACUCCAGCAUGCGCGGCCUCGUCCGGAUGCACAACCCCAGCGUCAUCUUCGCCGUGGCCGACGUCGACGGUAAGGUCAAGGACGCGCUCCGCAUGGCCGCCGAAGCCGCCGUCAACCAAACCGCACUCGUCCUCCUCCCCAGAAAGACCAUCCCCAAGGUGCUCUGGAUGGCCACCCUCCGCCCUGCCUCACUCCCAAACUGGAACAAGAUGAGGAUUUCGGUGAACAUCAUCACGCAGACGCGCGCGGGGUCCCUGGGGCGGCUGCUGAGCUCGCUGAAGAACGCCUACUACCUCGGCGACGAGGUGCCCAUCAGCUUCAACAUGGACAGCAAGGUGGACGCUGCGACGCUCAACACGGUGAACGCCUUCGCCUGGCCGCACGGUGGCAAGACGCUACGCCGCCGCAUCAUCCAGGGCGGCCUCAUCCGCGCCGUCAGCGAGAGCUGGUACCCGGCCUCCGACGACGACUACGGCCUCCUCCUCGAGGACGACAUCGAGGUGUCCCCCUACUACUACCUCUGGGUCAAGUACGCGCUGCUCGCCUACCGCUACGACCCCACCGUCUCCCUCCCGGAGCUCUCCUCCAUCUCCCUCUACACGCCCCGCCUCGUCGAGGUCACCAAGGAGCGGCCGCGCUGGAACGCCACCGCCUUCUUCGGCGCCACCAAGCACGGCGCCAACACCCCCUACCUCCACCAGCUCCCCUGCAGCUGGGGCGCCGUCUUCUUCCCCAAGCACUGGCGCGAGUUCUACGCCUACAUGGCCGCGCGCUUCACCGAGGACGCCAAGACCAACCCCGUGCAGAUCCCGAGGUCGCGCACCAACGGCUGGCAGGCGUCCUGGAAGAAGUUCCUCAUCGACAUGAUGUACCUGCGCGGCUACGUCAGCCUCUACCCCAACUUCCCCAACCAGACCAGCUUCUCCACCAACCACAUGGAGCCCGGCGCCCACAUCAGCGCCAAGGACAACAAGCUCAAGCACGACAAGGGCGACUUCGAGGUCCCGCUCGUCGCCGACGACUUCGCGCCGCUGCUGCCGGCCGGCAAGAUGCCGCCCGCGUCCAAGCUGCCCGUGCUCAACCUCUUCAACCAGCCCGUGUCCAUCAAGGGGCUCAAGGCCGCCGGGGCCAAGCUCCGGCAGGACGUCCUCAGCUGCGUCGCCACCCAGCUCGUCUCCGUUGACCACGUCACCGGCUUGCCCAAAAACUGCACCGCCUUCUGA
rnacentral:rRNA from 1 species